CCUGUUUAAUCAAAAACAUCUCUUCUAUGAAGAUUUAUAAAGUAUAACCUGCCCACUGAUAUUAUUAAAUGGCCGCAGUAUUUUGACUGUGCAAAGGUAGCAUAAUCAAUAGUCUUUUAAUUGAAGGCUUGAAUGAACGGUUGAACGAGAAAUACACUGUCUCCUAUUAAAUAAAUUGAAAUUUACUUUUAAGUGAAAAGGCUUAAAUCUAUUUAAGGGACGAUAAGACCCUAUAAAUCUUUAUAUUAAAUAUAAUAUAUUUUAUAAAUAUAUAAAAUAAAUAAAAUAUAUUAUAUAUAAUAUUUUAUUGGGGUGAUAUAAAUAUAAUAAUUAACUAUUCUACUUUUAUUACAAUAAUAUUUGAUUUUUUAUUAAAGAUCCUUUAUUUAAGAUUUUAAGAUCAAGUUACUUUAGGGAUAACAGCGUUAUUUUUUUUAAGAGUUCUCAUCAAAAAAAAAGUUUGCGACCUCGAUGUUGAAUUAAAAUAUCUUUAUGGUGCAGAAGCUAUAUAAGAAAGUCUGUUCGACUUUUAAAAUUUUACGUGAUCUGAGUUUUCAGACCGG
rnacentral:rRNA from 1 species